rnacentral:rRNA from 1 species
UUCACGGAGAGUUUGAUCCUGGCUCAGGACGAACGCUGGCGGCGUGCUUUAGACAUGCAAGUGGAGCGACGAAGGGCCUUCGGGCCUGGCAGAGCCGCGAACGGGUGAGUAACACGUGGGUAACCUGCCCCGAUGAUUGGGACAACCCGACGAAAGUCGGGCUAAUACCAAAUGUGCUU